UACGGAGGGUGCAAGCGUUGCUCGGAAUUACUGGGCGUAAAGCGUACGCAGGCUGUCCGUUAAGUCGGGUGUGAAAGCCCGGGGCUCAACCCCGGAAUUGCGCCCGAAACUGACGGGCUUGAGUACCGGAGAGGGCAGUGGAAUUCCAGGUGUAGCGGUGAAAUGCGUAGAUAUCUGGAGGAACACCGGUGGCGAAGGCGGCAUCCUGGACCGGUAUUGACGCUGAGGCGCGAAAGCCAGGGGAGCAAACGGG
rnacentral:rRNA from 1 species